rnacentral:rRNA from 1 species
UUGCCUCAUGAAUAAUAUAUGAGAUAAUACCUGCCCAGUGACAUCCAGUUCAACGGCCGCGGUAUCCUAACCGUGCAAAGGUAGCAUAAUCACUUGCCUAUUAAUUGUAGGCUAGAAUGAAAGGGUUAACGAAAUAAAAACUGUCUCAAUUAGUCAACUAAAAAUUAUUCUCUAUCUGAAGAAAGACAGAUACUCUCGAAGGACAAGAAGACCCUAUAGAGCUUAAUUUUACCUAUAGAACUAUACUAUAUAAAUAUUCGGUUGGGGCGACCCAGGGCAAAAUAAUCACCCACAACAUAAAAGAUAUAUUAAUCAAAUAACUGACCCUUUAAAGAUCACAAGAACAAGCUACCUUAGGGAUAACAGGCUAAUCCCACUCAAGAGUCCUUAUCAACAGUGGGGUUUGGCACCUCGAUGUUGGCUUAGGGUAUCCAUAUAGCGCAAAAGUUAUAUAAAGAUGGUUUGUUCAACCAAUAAUAUCCCUACAUGAGCUGAGUUCAGACCGGCGUAAGCCAGGUUAGCUUCUAUCCUCGACUACCACAAUCUACUCCUAGUACGAAAGGACCUGAGUAGAAUAAUUACUUAUAUAAAAGAAUACAUACAACUGAUAAUAAACCUGACACCAUACAAACUAUA